CGGGUCCUUUGGGCCCAACCUCCCAUCCGUGUCUAUUGUACCCUGUUGCUUCGGCGGGCCCGCCGCUUGUCGGCCGCCGGGGGGGCGCCUCUGCCCCCCGGGCCCGUGCCCGCCGGAGACCCCAACACGAACACUGUCUGAAAGCGUGCAGUCUGAGUUGAUUGAAUGCAAUCAGUUAAAACUUUCAACAAUGGAUCUCUUGGUUCCGGCAUCGAUGAAGAACGCAGCGAAAUGCGAUAACUAAUGUGAAUUGCAGAAUUCAGUGAAUCAUCGAGUCUUUGAACGCACAUUGCGCCCCCUGGUAUUCCGGGGGGCAUGCCUGUCCGAGCGUCAUUGCUGCCCUCAAGCCCGGCUUGUGUGUUGGGUCGCCGUCCCCCUCUCCGGGGGGACGGGCCCGAAAGGCAGCGGCGGCACCGCGUCCGAUCCUCGAGCGUAUGGGGCUUUGUCACAUGCUCUGUAGGAUUGGCCGGCGCCUGCCGACGUUUUCCAACCAUUCUUUCCAGGUUGACCUCGGAUCAGGUAGGGAUACCCGCUGAACUUAAGCAUAUCAAUAAGCGGAGGAAAAGAAACCAACCGGGAUUGCCUCAGUAACGGCGAGUGAAGCGGCAAGAGCUCAAAUUUGAAAGCUGGCUCCUUCGGAGUCCGCAUUGUAAUUUGCAGAGGAUGCUUUGGGUGCGGCCCCCGUCUAAGUGCCCUGGAACGGGCCGUCAGAGAGGGUGAGAAUCCCGUCUUGGGCGGGGUGUCCGUGCCCGUGUAAAGCUCCUUCGACGAGUCGAGUUGUUUGGGAAUGCAGCUCUAAAUGGGUGGUAAAUUUCAUCUAAAGCUAAAUACUGGCCGGAGACCGAUAGCGCACAAGUAGAGUGAUCGAAAGAUGAAAAGCACUUUGAAAAGAGAGUUAAACAGCACGUGAAAUUGUUGAAAGGGAAGCGCUUGCGACCAGACUCGCCCGCGGGGUUCAGCCGGCAUUCGUGCCGGUGUACUUCCCCGUGGGCGGGCCAGCGUCGGUUUGGGCGGCCGGUCAAAGGCCCCUGGAAUGUAGUGCCCUCCGGGGCACCUUAUAGCCAGGGGUGCAAUGCGGCCAGCC
rnacentral:rRNA from 1 species